GUGAUUCCCCCCGAUUCGACCCUGGCUGAGCUGUCAAAUUAGGGAAGAAAACAUUUCUGAACGAUUUUUAUUCUUUCCUCAAAAUAUACGUAAAUUAAUGUAAGGAAAGUGGAGACACAAUGAGUUCAUCAAUGGCAGGAUUGAAUCCCAUCCAGAGCACAGCUGGAGCCAUUCCUGUGCGCAAUGAGAAAGGUGAAAUCUCCAUGCAGAAGGUGAAGGUGCAGCGCUACAUCUCCGGGAAACGUCCUGAGUAUGCGACGUACGACACAUCCGGAGAGGAGAGUGAUGACGGAGACUUUGUGGAUACGCGACAGAGGGGCGCAGAGGUGCGAACAGUUGAGAAUUACGAAUCCGGAAGUAAGUACUCAACGGUGGAGAUUAAUGAUCCACGUCUGCGGAGAAUUAACGCCGUGGCUGCUGAGCCGCGUGAGAUGCGACGACACAUCUCCAUGUCUGAGAGUGAUUCCGAUGAACCCGAGGAGGUGGAUGUGGAGGAUUCGAGGGAUGUGCGUGGCAAGAUGAAUCGCAUUCAGGUGUCCGGGAGUUCAGACAGUGAAUCCGAUGCGGAGCUGAGUGAUGCGGAGAUUGAGAAGCGCCGACAGAUGCUGCGGAAGAAGAUGCUGCAGCAGCAGAAGGAGGAGGAGAUUAUGCAAUUUGAGGAGGAAAAAGCCGAAUCAUCAGGCUCGGAGAGCUAUGAGAGUGAGACGGAGAGUGAAGAUAUGGAGGACAAUGAGCCACGGCUGAAGCCACUGUUUGUCCGGAAGCGCGACCGGACAACGAUCAUUGAGAAGGAGAAGGAACAGACGCAGGAGCGACAAGCAGAGUACGAAGCGAAGAAGAAUCUAAAGCAGCGCCGGAGGCAGACGCUGAAACUCGUGGAGGAUUGCAUAAAGAGUGAUCUGGCGAAGCCGAAGAGUGACAAACAGGAGCCAAGCUUGGAGGAUGUUUGUACAGAUGAUGAGAAUGAUGAGAUUGAGUACGAGGCGUGGAAGUUGCGUGAAAUAAAGCGCAUUAAGCGUGAUCGUGAGGAGCGGGAGCAGAUUGAGAAGGAACGCCUGGAGGUGGACAGAAUGCGCAACUUGACGGAUGAGGAGAGGAAGCAGGAGCUGCGUCUCAACCCGAAGAUGGUCACGAACAAAAUCACCAAAGGAAAGUACAAAUUCCUCCAAAAGUACUACCAUCGUGGUGCUUUCUACCUGGAUCAGGAGGAGGAUGUGCUCAAGCGAGACUUCUCCAAUGCCACCCUUGAGGAUCACUUUGACAAGACAAUCCUCCCCAAAGUGAUGCAGGUGAAGAACUUUGGGCGAUGCGGACGCACCAAGUACACGCAUCUCGUGGAUCAGGAUACAACGCAAUUCGACUCACCGUGGUACAAUGAAUCAGCGACAAAUGUUAAAUUCCACACGGAGAGGGCAGCUGCCAGUAAGCAGGUGUUUGAGAAGCCCACCCUAAGUAAAAGAAAGUAAAAAAGGAAACAGCCUGAGAGGAUGCGAUGGAAGAAAAAGAGGAGCCUUCUUCUGCAGCAAAUGGGCUCAUUCGCUGCUUUCCUGCCCUUUCUUAUAUAACAAAGAAAAACCUCACUCCCCCAUUCAUUUUCAUUCUCUCUGGCUAUUAUCGCUUGAGGAUACUGAUGAAGGUAUCCCGAGGAAUGGAGAUAUUUGCAAUGGAGCGCAUCUUCUUCUUUCCCUCAGCCUGUUGACGAAGAAGCUUCAUGCGUCGCGUUACAUCGCCGCCGUACUACAAAAAACAAAACAAUACAAAAAAACCACAAAUUGAAAGAAAAUUAAAUGAAAGAAAUAAUAUUUUAAAGAAUUGAGGGUUUCCCGGAAGGAUUCAUCAGGUAAACUAUAUAUAUAUACUUAUAUACUAACUAUAUACACAAUUACAUAUUUUUCCUCUCUCUGUGUGAGAUCACGUCCAGAACACGCCGUCAGUUUUUUUUCGAAUCAAUUUUUCUUUUCAUUUUUUUGUAAAAAAAAUAGUUUUUGGGCAAAUAAAAUGAAGAACUCACCAA